rnacentral:misc_RNA from 1 species
CUAUUGUCUCUCAAAUUGCACUCUCUCAACUGAGUCAAGCCCGAAAAAUCAGGCAAAGGGCCUGUAAACUGAUUGCCUGAAAACCAGAGUUGGGUUAAUGCGGUCAUGUUCUGUACCACAUCUAUUGAACCAUUCAACUUACCAUGGAUACCAUUUAACCACAACGUUUGGAUAGAAGAACCCAAAAAAUUCGAGGGCAGGGGACCCUCAAAAUUAUUAAAGGCCAUAUGCAAAUCUGUUAAACUAACAAAGGUAUCUCCACCAAAGAAAUCAGGGACUUUACCAGUAAUAUUAGCAGAGUUAGCAGAGAAACUUUGAAGAGAAGUAGCAUCUUUCAAACUCUCUGG